rnacentral:piRNA from 1 species
UCGAAAUGUCCACUGUCAAUA